AUUGAACGCUGGCGGCAGGCUUAACACAUGCAAGUCGAGCGGGGGAAGGUAGCUUGCUACCGGACCUAGCGGCGGACGGGUGAGUAAUGCUUAGGAAUCUGCCUAUUAGUGGGGGACAACAUCUCGAAAGGGAUGCUAAUACCGCAUACGUCCUACGGGAGAAAGCAGGGGAUCUUCGGACCUUGCGCUAAUAGAUGAGCCUAAGUCGGAUUAGCUAGUUGGUGGGGUAAAGGCCUACCAAGGCGACGAUCUGUAGCGGGUCUGAGAGGAUGAUCAGUGGAACUGGGACUGAGAGACGGCCCAGACUCCGACGGGAUGCAUCAGUGGGGAAUAGUGGGCGAUGGGGGGAACCCUGAUCCAGCCAUGCCGCGUGUGGGAAGAAGGCCUUAUGGUUAUAAAGCACUUUAAGCGAUGAGGAGGGUACUUUAGUUAAUACCUAGAGAUAGUCGACGUUACUCGAAGAAUAAGCACCGGCUAACUCUGUGCCAGCCGACGCAGUAA
rnacentral:rRNA from 1 species